GUUUAUUAGAUACAAAACCAACCCACUUUGUGUGGAGUCCUGGUGAUUCAUAGUAACCGAACGGAUCGCAAUUGGCUUCGGCCCGCGAUAGAUCUUUCAAGUUUCUGACCUAUCAGCUUUCGACGGUAGGGUAUUGGCCUACCGUGGCAGUGACGGGUAACGGGGAAUUAGGGUUCGAUUCCGGAGAGGGAGCCUGAGAAACGGCUACCACAUCUAAGGAAGGCAGCAGGCGCGCAAAUUACCCAAUGAAAACAGUUUCGAGGUAGUGACGAGAAAUAACAAUACAGGGCAUUUUAUGCUCUGUAAUUGGAAUGAUGGGAAUGUAAAACCCUUCCAGAGUAACAAUUGGAGGGCAAGUCUGGUGCCAGCAGCCGCGGUAAUUCCAGCUCCAAUAGUGUAUAUUAGAGUUGUUGCAGUUAAAAAGCUCGUAGUUGGAUUUCUGCUGUGGUCMAUACCGGUACCGCCCCGUAACGGGKUGCGCACCUGGGUAUGGCUGAGGGCAUUCUUUCCUGUAGCCGUCAGCGMUUAAUUUGCGUGUGGUGUGUUGCGGAACUUUUACUUUGAGAAAAAUAGAGUGUUUCAAGCAGGCUUGUCGCCCUGAAUACUUCAGCAUGGAAUAAUAGGAUAGGACCUUGGUUCUAUUUUGUUGGUUUCUAGGACCAAGGUAAUGAUUAAUAGGGACAGUUGGGGGCAUUCGUAUUUAACUGUCAGAGGUGAAAUUCUUAGAUUUGUUAAAGACGAACUACUGCGAAAGCAUUUGCCAAGGAUGUUUUCAUUAAUCAAGAACGACAGUAGGGGGUUUGAAGACGAUUAGAUACCGUC
rnacentral:rRNA from 1 species